rnacentral:rRNA from 1 species
CGAUAGCGUAUAUUAAAGUUGCUGCAGUUAAAAAGCUCGUAGUUGGAUUUCGGGUGGGAAUGGCCGGUCCGCCGUUUCGGUGUGCACUUGCUACGCCCACCUUGCUGCCGGGGACGUGCUCUUGAGUUCACGCUCGGGACACGGAGUCGGCGAGGUUACUUUGAGUAAAUUAGAGUGUUCAAAGCAGGCCUACGCUCUGAAUACAUUAGCAUGGAAUAACACGAUAGGACUCUGGCCUAUCUUGUUGGUCUGUAGGACCGGAGUAAUGAUUAAGAGGGACAGUCGGGGGCAUUCGUAUUUCAUUGUCAGAGGUGAAAUUCUUGGAUUUAUGAAAGACGAACUACUGCGAAAGCAUUUGCCAAGGAUGUUUUCAUUAA